CCGGAUUUAUUGGGCGUAAAGAGCUUGUAGGCGGUUCGGCAAGUCAGCUGUGAAAUCUCCACGCUCAACGUGGAGGGGUCAGCUGAUACUGUUGUGACUCGAGUCCGGUAGGGGAGUGUGGAAUUCCCGGUGUAGCGGUGAAAUGCGCAGAUAUCGGGAGGAACACCAGUAGCGAAGACAGCCCUCUGGGCCGGUACUGACGCUGAGGAGCGAAAGCGUGGGGAGCAAACAGG
rnacentral:rRNA from 1 species